ACCCGCUGAACUUAAGCAUAUCACUAAGCGGAGGAAAAGAAAAUAACUAUGAUUGCCCCAGUAACGGCGAGUGAAGCGGCAAGAGCCCAAAAUGGUAAUCUUCACGCUGUGCGUGACGAAUUGUAACCUACAGGUGGAAUCCUCAAUUGGUGGAGACGCAGAAGUGACCUAGAAUGGUCCGCCAUGGAGGGUGACAGCCCCGUAUGUGGUGUCUCCGCCUAACGAGGGUCCUUCGAAGAGUCGGGUUGUUUUGAAAUGCAGCCCUAAGUGGGAGAUAGACUUCUUCUAAGGCUAAAUAUAUAUGGGAAACCGAUAGCGAACAAGUACUGUGAAGGAAAGAUGAAAAGAACUUUGAAAAGAGAGUCAAAAGACUUGAAAUCGUUGAGAAGGAAGCGGUAGAAAUUUAUUCUUCAGCCGUGAACGCAGCAUGUCGCCGAUCCAUUGGGGCUCUGAGCACUUCAAAGGCUCUCCGUUUCACUUGGGGAAGUGAUUUGUGUGUUCUAGGCUGUGAGGCAAAAUGGGGUUCCACAUCCACAAAAGCUUGGAUGACCUGAGCCGGUCCGCCGGUUAGUCUCCUGUGCUCGCGGGCGUGCAGCCUGAGGAUGCUCUGUGCGAUUUUGCUAAAAUGGUUUUUACCGACCCGUCUCGAAACACGGACCAAGGAGUCUAACAAAUAUGCGAGUGUGCUGGUGGAAAAACCAACACGCAUAAUGAAAGUGAUUGAUGCCAAGCGCAAGCGGCAGCAUCGACCGACCAUGAUCCUCUGGUGAAAGGUUUGAGUAAGAGCAUAUCUGUUAGGACCCGAAAGAUGGUGAACUAUGCCUGGGUAGGGUGAAGCCAGGGGAAACUCUGGUGGAGGCUCGUAGCGGUUCUGACGUGCAAAUCGAUCGUCAAACUUGGGUAUAGGGGCGAAAGACUAAUCGAACCAUCUAGUAGCUGGUUCCCUCCGAAGUUUCCCUUAGGAUAGCUGGGACAAUAACGCAGUUUUAUCAGGUAAAGCGAAUGAUUAGAGGAAUCUGGGGUAAAUUGCCCUGGACCUAUUCUCAAACUUUAAAUUGGUAAGAACCUUGGCCUUUCUUAAUUGAGGCAUGAGGGAUCAAUGCGUGUCCCAUGUGGGCCAUUUUUGGUAAGCAGAACUGGCGAUGAGGGUUGCUCCUAACGUUGAGUUAAGGUGCCCAACUGCACGCUCAUCAGAAACUACAAAGGGUGUUGAUUCAUCUAGACAGCAGGACGGUGGCCAUGGAAGUCGGAACCCGCUAAGGAGUGUGUAACAACUCACCUGCCGAAUGGAUUAGCCCCGAAAAUCGAUGGCGCUAAAGCGUGCGACCAAUACUCAACCAUUGCAGCGAGAGUGAGGCCGCAAUGAGUAGGAGGGCGUGAACGUUGUUGCGAAGCCUCUGGCGUGAGCCUUGGUUGAACAGCGUUUAGUGCAGAUCUUGGUGGUAGUAGCAAUUAUUCAAAUGAGAACUUUGAAGGCCGAAGUGGAGAAGGCUUCCGUGAGAACAGCAAUUGGUCGCGGGUGACUCGAUCCUAAGACAUGGGGGAAAUCCUUGUUAAGUGCACCUUAUGGUGCGUAGUCGAAAGGGAAUGAGGUUAAUAUUCCUCAAGCUGGACGUGGGUGUUGUAUGGUAACAUAAAUGAGCUCAGAGACGCCAGCGUGAGCCUCUGGAAGAGUUAUCUUUUCUUUUUAACAGACUAAUGACCUUGAAAUUGGAUUAUCCAGAGCUAAGGUGAUAUGUCUGGAAGAGCACCUUGCUUUUCGAGGUGUCAGGUGCGCUCACGAUGGUCCAUGAAAAUCUGAGUGAGAUUACUUCACACCAGGUCGUACCCAUAACCGCAUCAGGUCUCCAAGGUU
rnacentral:rRNA from 1 species